UGUAACACUGUAAGAGUGGGGAUCUGGAUCAGCAUACACUAUAUCUGUUUCCCGAUAAGAGGAAGCGAUUAUCGGAACAAGAUCAUCCUAUUAUCGAAUUUAAAGAUCUAUAUUUGACUCGCUCGAGGAUGAACGCGGGGAUGAACGUUUAAAAAAUCGAACUCGUCUCAAGUGGUCGAGGUGUUGCCAGCUUCUCUUCGAUCACCAACGGCGAAGCAUUUACGUCAAAGACUGUAUGACGUCACCCAAUGAGCUAGAAU